GCCUGGGUGGCUCAGUUAAGCGUCUGACUUAGGCUCAGGUCAUGAUCUCACAGUUCAUGGGUUCAAGCCCCAUGUCGGGCU
rnacentral:tRNA from 1 species